UCAAACAUUGUAGAUACUUAGGUACACAUGUUUGUAUGUUCUAUUACAUGGUAGCAUGAUAGCUCAAAAAAAAAAUAUGAGAUCACUUGAUGAUAGCUUACAUUGGCUUUAUCAAGCAAGUUAUAUUAGCAUAGAUGUAUCAUAGAUAUAGUGCUUAUCUCUUAACAUUUCGCUGAGUCUUGUAUCUGCUGCCAGCAAGAAAGACCAAGACAUAAAAGUGGUUGUAUUAGGUAGUCAUUGUUGGAUGUCCCAUAUGUACCGAACACGAUUUCAUCGUUUAAGCAACUCUUCAUGGUGGGGCUGAGCAGUCCUUGUAAUCAUCCUGAAUGAACCGAGAGAGAUCCAACUCGUAGAUUGUGACAUGAGAUUGUAUGCCUGCAACACAUGCCAAGAAGUAUAGGUUGAUCGAGAUCAGACAUCGAAGUGAAUCUCGCAAGCUUGCAAUAAGGAAAAGAAAGCUUGUCACUACUGCAACAUCUUUACAUCAGUUUUAGAUAGAGAAAUCAAUCUUUACUGUGCCAUAUCAACACAUCUAUUAAGUUAUUGUAGUACCCCAAGCCCUUCAGAUUGAUCUUGCCUCUUCCAUCUACAUAAAGGAGGUAGCAUGGUAGUCCAAAAAAAAGUUGUCAGCACAGUUCAUGAUAGCUUAUACAUUGGUUUUAGAAAGCAAGCUAUAUAGGUAGCCAUAUAUCAUAUAGAUAGCCCUAAUCUUUCAGCUCGUGGUUGAGUUUUUUAUCUUCUGUUGAUAUGUCAGAUCAAAACAUGUAGUCAUCAACAUUAGGCAGAGUCAUUGAUGCAUGUUCCAUCAAUAUACCUGCAUAUACUGAUAGAUGAUAAAAACUUUGAGAAUAACAGGAUUUUUAGCUUGUUCAAACUGAAGUAGGACAGAUGCAUAUACUGUCUUUCAAGUUCCAAGAAAAUAGGAAAACACAUGGAAACAGACAUCUAUAUAGCAAUCACUUAUUCAUGUGUAGAGUAAGAAGCAUAUAUGCAAUAAGGAAUGGUGGCACAAAAGGCAAGGGCGAGCCGAGUAUUCAAACCAUGCAUAUGUGACUGCUUCAGAAUCAGCUUAUAACUUAUUACAUGGCACCAUGACAGAUCAAAAGAAAGUAUGAGGUCACUUGAUAAUAACAUACAUUGAUUUUAUAAAGCAAAUUGUAGUAGUAUAAGUUUAAACCAUGCACAUAAAAUUAUUUAGACACUGAUUAGAAGAUAAGGAAAUGGAUACUCAGUGCUGAUACAUAGUGUUCCAAGAAGUUUACAAUAGAUUAUUUACAAUGUUAUUAGCAAGCAAAGCACAUAGCUAGAGAUGGUUAUGAAGUGAUGGACAUCAGAUAAAGUCAUCGCUGCAUGUGCCAUCGGUAUCGAAAUUGACUUCGUUGUCUAAGCAACUCUUCAUGGUGGGUGUGAUUGGUAGGCCGUCAUUGCCUAAAGCAGAAAUUCCUUCGGUAUCAUCAUCCAGACUCCAAAAAUACUUGUUUGUUUUUUGUACAAUGUCUCAUUGUAAAGUUGUAUCAUUAAGAUGAUUAGCAACAUAUCUUAUCUAUGAGAAAUACGAUUCAGAUUGUUGUCUUCGGGUGUUGAUCCUUCUGUGAAUUUGGCCUCAAUUAUACGGCAAAGUUCCUUCGCUACCAUGAAAUCUCUACUCAGACUACUGCACCAGCUGCUGCUCAAAUAGUCUAUUUUCUAUCGUUUUCUUUCUGUUGAUGCUCUAGAGAUUUAUAUUUUUGCUGUUGAUGCUCCAGAGAUUUAUAUUUUUGCUGAACCAACUGCAGCUGGUCACAGUUGGAAGUCUUGCAACACCCUACUGUAAGAUCCUUCCAUGUACUUGAGAGCUUUAGUUUCCAGUCGAUCUUCAGCCUCUUCGAGUUUUCCGUACACAUAGAUGGAUAUUGAUUUCCUUGGAAGUCAGUUAUCUAGUUGGUUCUUAGAUGGAUAUAACUAAAUGGUUGUGUCAAAACCAACCGUCCUUGCCUUCUGUGUUAAGUACAUUGCAUUUGCAAGGCCAAGCUAUUGCGUAGUAGCAUCCAGAAGCCCUUCUGUUGGGAUCCUGAAUUUUUCCAUCGCGACCACCACGAAAGAGAAGACACUAUGAGUAGUGCAGUUUAUGAUUCUAUAUGUGUCUGUAUGUGUAUCAAUUUCUAGUGAGAUACACAAUUCGCAUAGUAAAUGAAUUAUAUGUUAUUCUAAAGCUGAUAAUAAAAUAAUUAAGUGUAGCCAGGGCUUGAGCUUGCUUAAAAUCAUGAUUGUACUAUUUGCCAAGCACCAACAAACCAGGGGAUCAACAGGUGUGGGUAUGUACCAAGUGGUUACUCUAGUCUUUAUUAGGAAGUAUGCAUAGUCUUGGUAGAAAACAAAUUUCAUUAUCUCGUCCUUGAUGCUAUAAUAUUUAUCAGAAGAGGUUAUGGAAGCAAAUAUAAGGUACAAUCAUGGUUUUGUCUAAUUUUGACGGAAUCACACUGCCAACCUAUCACUUCUGCUGCGUAUGUGAUGCCAUGCUGAGCACUCGCACGAGACAUGGAUAACGCCACCAAAAUGACCUUGUCAAUAAAUGCAAAUUUGUACAAUGUACGAACAUGGUCUGACACAGAUAAUACCUCUAACAACCACAUAGGAUUUUAGCACAUAGGAAUAUAUACAGAAAAAUAAGACCAGAGAUGAACUUAUUCUGAACUCAAGGACACCAAACUGUUGGAAAAUAAAGGGAAGCACCAAUCCUCAUGAAAUUUGUGCUGAUAGGUAGAACAUAUUCCUUUUCAUGUAUUGUGGUACAGGGGUUGCGGAAGAAAGCAUGCUCACCUUUCUUGGUAGGGUGCGACUGCUCCAGGGACAACAAGCCACAAGAUCUCCAACCAAUCAGAAACAAAUAAUAAUUUCCCUCUCUUCAGUUUCAGACAUCCAGUCACCAAAACUGUAUGGGCCAAAUAUAAUCCUCAGAGGAUGUAGGAAAUAAUAAAUAAGCAAAAGGAUUAUCCCUGGAAAUGCAAUAAUGUUGCAAAACAGUCAAGAUUGUAUGAAAAAUUACAUAUCUUACCCUGUUGCUCGCACUCCUCAACGCCUGCUCCUUCUCCCUGUCAUUGGCAUGGUUGCAUUAUACACUAUAACCAACAUCCACGAAUAAAAUUUAACAAAAGCAUUUGAUAACAGAAAAAGGAGUGAAAUGAGAUAUACAGUCGGUUCAAUAGCCCAAUGUUUUGCAAGAUCAUAAAAGCUACUCUAAAUAUGGGUAAUUAAUAAAGGUACGAUAUUGAUGAUUUAUUUUCAUAUCAAAAGAAGAUAGGUAAUGGAGAUUCCAUUAGUAAACAAAUAAGUGCGAGGGAAAACUAUGUAUAGUCCAACAUGUUUAGGCUUUCUUAGUCAAUAGUCUACUCAAAUGUAGUUAAUAUAUAGCAGAUCAAUAUCAAAAAAAUACCUGCCUAAAUAUGCCGAGAAGAGAGGUAGAAAGCCUAUUUAAAUCUAUAACAGUUACAAAGUUGCAUCAUCCUACUACGUUAAACAUAUAAUGGUAGCUCUAGAUGUUGCUUAACAUGGAGCAUAGUUUGAUGCCGCAGUGCAACCUCAUAAACUUUGCAUACAACAACCUGUAGAUAAAUGUGAACCAAAAUAAAGUGUCUUUGCUCCAAAUGAUAGAACAUACCUGAACGCCAUUUCUUCACAUCUCAUCUCUCAAACAGAGGCAUGCCAAAUACUUGCCAUAGGAGGUUUCCAGUGCGUACAUCAAGCCAUCGCUGAAAAGAACCGGAAGACAAACCUGUGAAAAGAAUUGAAUUCUUUUACAAAAACGAAUCAUUGAGCAAGCAAAUGACAAUGAAGGGACGAAAAGAUAAGCAGUCACAUGGUCAAUGAGCAAAGGUGCUCCAGGGCAGAAGGAACUACACACAAACUCAUGGAGAAGCAACCUGGAAUCGGUAAAACAAAGUGGCAGCUAGAAACUAAC
rnacentral:lncRNA from 1 species